CCCUUGAACUCUCAAAUACUCUCUCCUCGUCUUCUUUGGGUAAAAACCCUAGGCGCCGUUGGUUGAGUAUACUCUCUCUCUUGCGUCAUUUAAGCCGGAAAUGGAAAUGGAAGGGGUCCACACUGUUCGUUUUAGUUGUGUAUAGCUGGAAAAGGCAAGAGCAUUAAUGGCUCUGCCAAAACUCAACCAUUUCCAGCAUGGUUCAACCAAACACGGCAUUUGCCAUUGGUUGAGAGGAGAAUUGCGCGGAUUAAGCCCAUCUAGGGUGAAAUCUGGCCGUAUAUCUCCUUUUACUUUCAUUCUCGUUUGUUGAUUGGUAUAUUGAGAUUUAAUUUGAGAAAAACCCUCAAAAUAUCACAUCAAAGAAACCCUAGGUUUUGAGAUUUUUUGGAUCCUAUCUAAAAGACCCCACAUUUUCAUUGUUACAGACCUGGAACUGAAUAUCACAUAUUCACACUAAAAACUCAAAAAUUGGGGUUUUUCUUAUUGCUAGAACCAAACCUUUUUCAGAGUUAAGUUUCAAAUUUUAAAGUUUAUUUCUUGUGUUUCUUGUUGUGAUUUGGGGCUGAGUCUGAGGCAAAAAGGGGCGAAAAUUUUUCCAAAGGUCCAAUAUCUCUUCUCGGCUGUGCAACAAGAGGUAAUCUUCAUUCCCUUUUUAUUAUUUUUCUUGUCUUAUUUUUGUUUAUGUGUGUUUUAAUUCCUGUUUGUGCUUUAGUUCCAUGUUUAAUGUAGCUAGUUAGUGUUUAGCCUAGAGUUUCAUGUUAGUUAUUUUGUGUGUGUGUGUGUGUGUGUAGUUUUGCUUCCUAUUUAGUGUAGCUAAAUAUGGCUUAACAUUGGUCUUAACUCUAGGAAUGAGUUUAUUCUGCCCUUUAUUGUAUUCUGAGUUGUUUGAAAUAGUAUUGAUAUUAGGAUGUGGUUAGCCCUGUAGUUUUUUCUGUAAUAAAGAAGGUUAAUCUAGCCUAAACAACAUGAUUACUAGACUGCUUGUGUGUAUGUAGCUUGUUGAUGGAUCAAAAUGAGAAGGGGUAAACUGCCUAAGCUCUGUUGUUUUAAAAACUGAAUCUUACUUGGCACUUUUUGAUUCUUAAACUAACUAAAGAUCCUGUUAACUAAGCGUAGGAGUACUAUUGCUUAAUCUGUCUGAAAUGCAGCAAAUGGAUAUUGGUAUGCCUUUAUGUAUGACAUAGUAUGAUGAUAUGUUAAAUAGCUAUAGUUUGGGGCCUCUUGAAGACUAUAUACUUUGCUGUGAGUUCCUUUAUGUUGAAUGGAAAAGGAACUAGCUGUUAUCUCAAUACAUCUAGGCUGUUUAUAUCCUGUCUAAAAUUUUGUAGACACUAACAUGCCUUAUCUCAAUCCUGUACAUGCCUAAAUACAACAAGUGUGCUUUUAUUUUGGUUCUGUGUAUGUCUAAGUACUGCUGUGUGUGUAUACUUGCAAAUAUACUGUAUUUGAGUUGUUUAUGUAUAUGUACAUUGUCAGUAUACUUUGACUAAACACAUUGAUAAGGAGGUUAGUUGGUCAUUAUGGAUCAAGCUUAAACCCUCCCCGGUGUUAGCUAUGCCUGGGAUUCCUAGAAAUCCCUUGGAACUUGUGCAACAUCGGGAAGGCGGGGGCAAAACCUUUCCAAUAUUAACCCUUUAAACAUCCUUAUGGAUGUGUAUACACGAAGUAUACUCAAAUAUACAUAAUGUAUACAUAAGUCACUUGUUUGUUUUGAAUAUUGAAACUGCUCUGUUACUGGGCCUUAACCCAUUCUUGUUAUGAAUUAAAUUGUUAAGUUUGUGUGUUCUCCAAAAUGGGCCUAUAUGUGAUAUUAAUCUUUAUCCUUCUUCUAUGAUGAAACACCUCUUGCAUUUGGGCUUCUUUACAUCAAAUACAGGGACUGGGUCGAGGCCCAGUCCUAACUCUAUUUUGGGCCUGAUUUCGUAUAUUGGAAAUGGAAGCUAAUAUUUAUUAAAGGCCCAACCAUGGGUGUAAAUGGUGAAGGCCCAUCUAUGGGUAAAAAUAGCACUAAUGGGGAAGGUAGCCCAUUAGUAUUCUAAGUUCUUCUUUUAUGUUUAUUUGUUUGUAUGGUUUUUUGUAAAUUUAAACCUUAUUAUUAGUGAAACUCAUGGAUGUAGACACUGGGAUUAUCACCUAGUAAACUAGGAAAUUAAGAUAAAAGGAGUGCAAUCUUUUUUUUUUUUUUUUCAAACUUUGACUCUAAAAACUGAUUUUUGAACUCAACAUCUUUUGAGUGAGCAAAAUGAAUUUUGACAAAACAAUGGUAAACUGAUUUUUUAAACUGGAACUCGUGUUGUUUUGUAAUACUGAAGUUGUGUAUAAGUUAUACAUAAAUGGGAUCACUUGAGAAACUGAAAACAAAAUUUAGAUUUCUUGACAGAAAAACGACUUGUUUACAACAACCCUUUGAGAU